CCGCUCAUCAGAGCAGCACAUAUCCUUAAAUUGGAACAAUACAGAGAAUAUUAGCAUGGCACCUGUGCAAGGAUGACACACAAAAUUUGUGAAGCAUUCCACGGAUUC